CACAUCACUUCAUACUCUCUCUACUGCUGACACAGCUAGGUCAUGUCUCUUUGCUCUGCCUCCCUCUCUGUUCUUUCUCCCUGAUAGUGAAGGCUUUUGUUGAUGUAUGGUUCCUAGUGGUACACUGGGUAACACUUCAGUCAUUGUAGAGAUCUGAUUGUGCUGUGCUUGUUGGCACUACUUCAGAGAGCCUUCGACAAUAACCGAGAGAUCCCAGUACAGGCUAAUACGAUGGGGAAUGCCAAGAGCAGUGCUAUUUCCAAGGAGAUCCUGGAGGACCUGAAGCUCAACACCAAGUUCACGGAGAACGAGUUGUGCCAGUGGUACGAGAACUUCCAGAAGCAGUGUCCCACCGGACGCAUCUCGCCAGAGGAGUUCGAGACGAUCUACGCGCGCUUCUUCCCCGAUAGCGAAGCCAAGACCUACGCUCAGCAUGUGUUCCGUUCAUUCGACACCAACGAGGACGGCACUCUGGACUUCAAGGAAUACAUCAUUGCACUGCACAUGACCUCCAGUGGGAAGACGACGAGGAAGCUGGAGUGGGCCUUCUCACUGUUCGACGUGGACAAGAACGGAUACAUCACCAAGACAGAAGUGGAAGUCAUCUGCCAGGCCAUCUUUAACCUAAUCCCCAAGGAAGAUCUGCCCAAAUUACCGUCCGACGAGAAUACACCAGAGAAGAGAGCCAACAAACUGUGGGGAUUCUUUGAGAAAUCAGACAACGACCGGUUGGCAGAGGGAGAGUUCAUCAAGGGGGUGACCGAGAACGAAAACGCCAUGCGUCUCAUCCACUACGAACCCAUCACUGACUAGUCAUCCCUUCUUCUUUACCUCUUUCUCCUUCACACACUAUUUCUUCCUCUCAUCCACUAUCUUUGUCAUUGUAUUCUAGUGUUCUGUCUUUCUCUUCUGUGUAAAUACUCUUGUAUGGCGGUGUCUUAAUUGUCUUCACUGUACCUUCUAAGAAAGUAGGGGUUUAUGUUGGUUAUAGUAUACAUGUCUGUCUAUGCAUGUAUGUCUAUUGGAUUGAGGCUGUUUUAUGAAGGUAGAUGUGAUAAAUAUGAAGGUGUAGAUGGCCGUUAUUGUAAUUAGCGUUUGAUGCAAUAUAAACACAAUAGAAAAAUUGAGGCACGAGUAGAUUUAUUUGUUUGUAUAUUGAUACAAUAUCCCUGCUAAAUGCUGUUUCCGAUCAGAUUGAGGUUACAAUAGCUUUUUGGUACUGUGAGAUGAUUGUGAAAAAGUUGGUGGUCUAGUGUUUUGCAGUGUCCUGAAUACUCAUGGACUUGAUCAUUUGGUAACCAUUGUUCAUUCUAUACAUUUCAUUAUUCUAAGAAGCUCUAAAUGGUGUUGCUGUAGAAGGAAAACUUGAAAUGUGCAAAUGUGAUAAAUGGUAACAGUUUGGACACAGGUAUUUGGGAAAAGAAAUUGAAAAUCUGUAGAAUAACAAACCUUUUUCUCCAUUAGGAAUUUGCAUGGUCGUGAUGGUGGCUUUUAGAUUUUAUCCUGCAAUUGUCUUUUUGUUUUUAAUCAAGAGUUAUACGCUGCAUAUGGUGGAUUAAAGCUUUUCUCAUAAA